rnacentral:SRP_RNA from 1 species
GGGCGAGCUAGGCCGGGAGGUUAGUCCUCUCCUGCCACCGCAAACGGACUAUACGGCGGGGCCGAAGCCGGCGGAGCGGGCCGCGCCUCCCCUGAGGUCCUUUGUGGGACGAUGACUUUCUGUCCUGCGGGGCUGUUCCUUUCCGGAACCGGGUCAGGGCAGGAAUGCAGCAGCCCUAACGGAUUGGACCGGUGCUUGCAGGGUAGCGGAAACGAGAACCUCAAAGGGUUGCCUCUGGGGCCCGGCGUGCGUCUCAUCCGCUGGCGUGCUCGCCC